UUGUCUUUUAAAAGAAGAAACAGAUAGCACUCCCUUUGACAAGGAUGGUACACAUAAAAUGGUUAAGGCACAACUUGACCACAUUUUUUG